rnacentral:rRNA from 1 species
AGGAUGAACGCUAGCGGCAGGCUUAAUACAUGCAAGUCGAGGGGUAACAGGGGUAGCAAUACCUGCUGACGACCGGCAAACGGGUGCGGAACACGUACGCAACUUCCCCAAAACUGGUGAAUAGCCCUCCGAAAGGAGGAUUAAUACACCGUAAGAUAAUGAGAUGGCAUCAUCUUAUUAUUAUAGCUCCGGCGGUUUUGGAUGGGCGUGCGCCUGAUUAGGUAGUUGGCGGGGUAACGGCCCACCAAGCCUGCGAUCAGUAACUGGUGUGAGAGCACGACCAGUCACACGGGCACUGAGACACGGGCCCA